rnacentral:rRNA from 1 species
GGGUGGGGGAAGUGGCGAAAGGGGCAGUAAUGCGUGGGUAACCUACCCUGGGGACGAGGAUAGCCAUUCUAACGAGUGGGUAAUACUCGGCGAUUUGAUUGAGGGGCAUCCCUUGGUCAGGAAAUGAAUUUCGCCUCAGGAGGGGCUCACGUGAUAUUAGCUAGUUGGUAGGGUAACGGCCUACCAAGGCAAAGAUGUCUAGCGGGUGUGAGAGCACGACCCGCGCCACUGGCACUGAGACACUGGCCAGACACCUACGGGUGGCUGCAGUCGAGGAUCUUUGGCAAUGGGCGCAAGCCUGACCAAGCGACGCCGCGUGUGCGAUGAAGGCCUUCGGGUUGUAAAGCACUGUCGAGGGGGACGAAGGCCCGAAAGGGCUUGACCGAUCCCUGGAGGAAGCACGGGCUAAGUUCGUGCCAGCAGCCGCGGUAAGACGAACCGUGCGAACGUUG